AGUUUUCAAACGGUGUCUCUUUCACUUUCCUUCGAGACAAACCGAUCGUAUCUAAAAUACAAGUACCUGAAUCGAACAUGAAGUUUUCAUCGCCUGAAAUUUAUAACGAUGUUGGCAUCUAGAAGAUUCAAGGAUGAUGGUGCAGCAAUCGAUUGGUUUCAGAAUAUUCAAGGAUGAUGGUGCAGCAAAUGAUGGUCCUGUAGAGCAUGCAAAGGUUUUCUUAUGUAAAUCGAUUGGGAUCAUUUCGAGAACUCUGGUUUUAAUUGGAUAAUUUUUUUUUGGGGAAGUGAUUCAGUUUUUAAACUCUAUUAUAUGGAAUGGUGGAUAACACCGGUUUAAGGACGAACAAAAUUGGAUUAGAAGGUAGAAUUUAUAUUCAACCGAACUAAGGAGUUUGUGUUUCAGAAUUCUUGCGGAUUCAAGUCACUUAUUAGCAUAUAAGAACUAUGCUUAGCUAAUUGAAUGAUUUUUGAAGUCUUUUAUAUGGCAUCGUUGACAUGUCCGGAUAAAGAACGCAGGACAUUAGACAAUAAGGUUUGUCUAAAUCGUAUCACCACAAGUUGAAGUGAAGCGUACGUGUAAAACAGCAAGCCUAGUUGCCCAGAUUCUGGAACACCUCUUUGAAGACAACGUUCUUUGUCUGUCUGUCAACCUUCCCUUCUUUGUUGACGAUUAAGAUUUUUAAUCCUUUCUUCGAAGUUACCCUAGAUAAAGCAACAUACAACUGACCAUGAGAAAAAAUUGGUUUAGGCAAAUAUAUACCCACAUGCUCUAGAGAUUGUCCUUGGCUUUUGUUGAUAGUCAUAGCAAACGCUACAGAAAGUGGAAAUUGUCUUCGUCUCAUCUUGAAUGGUAAUUUGGUGUCCGAUGGUGUAACAACAACCUGUGGAAUUAAGACUAUGUCUCCAAUCCGAUCACCUGUGAUAACUUUUGCUUCAACAACACGAUUAGCCAUUUGCGUUAUCUGAAGCCUAGUCCCAUUGCAUAAUCCACCUUUAGGAUCAAUAUUCCUAAGCAACAUAACAGGAGCUCCUAUUUUCAAUCGUAAAGCAUGAUGAGGCAAACCUGAGAGCUUGAUACUAUUCAAAAAAUCGUAAACUUAGCCAAAGACAAAAAG